rnacentral:lncRNA from 1 species
GUGGUGCUAGGAUGUCCAUCCUUUAAUUUGAAUGAAAGUUUAUGUGAAAUCUUUUUUCUUGUGUUUGGCGGGCUAGAGCUUGAUGAUCUUCUUUUUUCGAUUGACGGAACUGUAUUAGCCAAACAUGGCAAACAGUUGCCGGGAAUCAUUCCACAGUCCAAUAAACCACUAUCCAUUCCAGUAUUUUCAUCAAUGGAAGAUGAUAUUUCAUCAAGGUAAACGGGUUUAGAUUCGUUUGAAUGUUCAUCUAAUUUUAGCCGCAAGUCAAUACUUGGCCUAGAGGCUACUUCAGAGCCGUUUAGUGACAAAACAUCUGCAGAACACUAUGGAAAUCUUCAUCACUGCAUUCAGAUUCAAGAACUGCAACUGAAUCAUACCAAUGCUCAUCUAUGUUACCUGACGGUGCGAACUUCGAUUGAUCGGACAAAAUAGACGAAACACGCUGAUUCGGAGCUUUUUUUCGCUUGCGUAACUUCUUCGCGGAUGAUUGUAUGCGUCCACCGACGCAAGUAUCCGG